CUAAGGAGCACUUCUACACAAUCCUUCGAAGAGUCGAAUGUGGUUGUGUCAGAGACCGUUUGUGUCCCCGUCAGUGGGACCGCGGAAGCUCAUGGGUGGAACGCUGACAGAUUCUCCGCAGUCGAGGCGGUCUGAUGGCCGGCCCGCGGGGAUAUAUUGACACACUGUUGGGUCCCGAAAGAACAGACGUUCUUUCCAGGCAAAAAAUAGACUUGCUCGGAUCUUCGUGAGUACCGCAGGGUUUUGGCUCUGGCUGGCUUCGAGUUUCGGAUUCGGGUGGGUGUGUUGUUUGAGAACUGCACAGUGGACGCGAGCAUCUUUGUUUGUAAGUGUGUAAGGGCGUAC
rnacentral:misc_RNA from 1 species